CGUGCUUAACACAUGCAAGUCGAACGGAGCGAAUGAAAGCUUGCUUUUAUGAGCUUAGUGGCCAACGGGUGAGUAACACGUAGACAACCUGCCGAUCAGAUGGGGACAACAUUCCGAAAGGAAUGCUAAUACCGAAUGGCGUGAAGGGGAGGCAUCUUCCCUACAUGAAAGAUGGCCUCUAUAUAUAAGCUAUCACUGAUCGAUGGGUCUGCGUCUGAUUAGCUAGUAGGUAAGGUAACGGCUUACCUAGGCGACGAUCAGUAGCCGGUCUGAGAGGAUGAACGGCCACAUUGGGACUGAGACACGGCCCAGACUCCUACGGGAGGCAGCAGUGGGGAAUCUUCCGCAAUGGGCGCAAGCCUGACGGAGCAACGCCGCGUGAGUGAAGAAGGUCUUCGGAUCGUAAAGCUCUGUUGAAGGGGACGAACGUACAUAAGUUGAAUAAGCUU
rnacentral:rRNA from 1 species